rnacentral:piRNA from 1 species
AGAAACUUCAAAAGUGUAGCUCACUUUC